GGAUAAUGCCGGGGAGUUCAUGAUGGUGCACCGGAUCUUACUGACAAAAGAUGGUGAGACGAGGUGGAGGUAUGACAUGUACCGAGUGGAUUUGGGCACCAGGACUCUUGUCCCUGUCAACAGCUUUGGUGGAGGACGUGCAUUGUUCUUGGGCAGGGAUUGCUCUCUCUUGGUGCCUGUUGGGGUUUUCCCCUCUUGCUCUAUUAGCAGUGACACCAUCUACUUCAGGUUUGAUGUCAAAGAGAGGGAUUCAACCGAGGCCUACCAUCUCGCAGUUAGGAGCAUCGAACCUGCCAUAUUAAACUUGGAUGGCUCGGUUCCACGGCCGCAUACACUUGUGGACUCUCUUUGCCUGACGUUCCCUGAUGAUCAGUAGUACUAUAUGUGUACUAUCCGAAUCUCUUUCUGCUAGCCUGACGUUCUCUUUUUUUGUUGAGUUUUAUUUGAACAGAAGAUGCUAUGUUAAAGUGAUGCUGAAUCAACGCAAUUAAGUACUGAAGCAACUAGAAGCAUGGAGGGAAAGAAGUUGUUGGUCCAUCCUGCCUGGAUAUUCUCUUGUAUUAUUGGAUAUCCAAAUUACAUGCUGUUUUAUUAAUGACCAAGCUAGGAACUUGCAAUUUGGUUUUAUGUUGUAGAUGCUAGUACCUUUUCUGUUAGUCAAGAAACACCUUCUAACUGGACUACUCUCCAGAUUGUGUGAAUUCCAAUUGUGGCUGGAAUGUGCAUGUACCCUUCUAACUGGACUAUCUCCAGAUUGGCUGAACAUGCUGUGUUCUUGCUGAUA